GCCAACUUAGCUCAGCUGGUAGAGCGCUUCACUCGUAAUGCAGAGGUCGUCGGUUCGAGUCCGAUAGUUGGCU
rnacentral:tRNA from 1 species